rnacentral:rRNA from 1 species
AGAGUUUGAUCCUGGCUCAGAUUGAACGCUGGCGGCAUGCCUUACACAUGCAAGUCGAGCGGCAGCGCGGGGGCAACCCUGGCGGCGAGCGGCGAACGGGUGAGUAAUGCAUCGGAACGUAUCCAAUAGUGGGGGAUAGGCCGGCGAAAGCCGGGUUAAUACCGCAUACGCCCUGAGGGGGAAAGUGGGGGACCGUAAGG